GUUCUUGUAAUAUUCAUAGUACGAUUAUGAUAGAUCCAUUAGAGAAGAAUGUGAUGCCAUUAAAGACAUAAUAAACAGAGAAACCUGGAAACAGAGCAAAACCACAAAAAAAAAACAGAUUAGUGAAUUGAUUACGUAGUCGGUUUAAGAUAACCAAACCAAAAUAACCGGUAUAAGCCAAGAACACACUUCAUUACUUCAUCAAUGGAAACUCACUGAUGAACAAAUUAAGCUCGUAGAAAAAGCUGGUUUCGGUUUCUUUCGCAAAAUUGGUCCAAUGAGUUUAAAAACAAUUCGCUAAUCUCUGCGUUGAGCGUUGGAGAAGAGAAACCAAUACUUUUCACCUUCCUUUAGGAGAAAUGACUAUAACUUUAGAUCAAGUUGCUUUAGUACUUGGGCUUGAUAAUGAUGGAGAUCCUAUUGUUGGUUCUAAAGUUGGUGAUGAGGUUGCUAUGGAUAUGUGUGGUAGACUGUUAGGGAAGUUACCUUCUGCUGCUAAUAAAGAAGUUAAUUGUUCUAGGGUUAAGCUUAAUUGGCUUAAAAGAACUUUCUCUGAGUGUCCUGAAGAUGCUUCUUUCCAUGUUGUUAAAUGUCAUACUCGAGCUUAUCUUUUGUAUCUUAUUGGUAGUACUAUUUUUGCUACUACGUACUGAUGGCGAUAAAGUCUCUGUUGAAGUGAUGGAGAGUGUGAAAGAUACGUUCACUAAUAGUUUGACGAUUGGAGGAUGGCAAGAGGUGGCGGAUAACAGUGGUUAGGGAAGCGCCGUCGUCGGAAUGAACAAACUCCUAUGCCGAACAAUGGUGGUGGACCUGGUGGUAAUUAAUGAUCUUUCGUCUCUUCUGCUUCCAAAGGACGACGCAUGCAUGAAGCCUUUUUGUAUUAGUUUAUUUUCAUCUUAAAAAUGUUGCAUUGUUUAUGUAUAUGUAUAUCAUCGGCCAUUUUGUUAGGAGUACAGAAGAUUAGAUACAAUGUUACACCUUACAUAGUUACCAUUCUAAAAAAUACAAUAAUAUAAGAAGAAGAAACUUGUGACUAGCUUAAAUAGUUUAAUUGCAUCAAAUAAGGUAAAGAAUGUGCUAGAACGUAUCGUAUCUUGUGGUAGCACAUUACAAAACUUACAGGUCCAUCGAAACACAUAACUCUGAAGUAGAGUAGGUUUUGGAACCAUUGUGAUUACUUUGUUGAUUACUUGAGUCUAGAGAUAUAUAUGUAAGCCAUAUAACCCCAUUUAAGUUUUACCCCAUUUAUCCUCCCAUUUAAACCCAUUUAAGUUUCAUUGAUCCAUUUAAACCCAUUUGGACUCAUAUACCAUUGUUUUGUUCAAAACAAUAAUAUAGUCUUUUUUUUUGUGCAAAACAAUAAUAUAAUCUAUACCAUUGUUUUGACGGAAAUUUUUUUGGCGGGAAAAUUUUGACGGGAUUUUGUUUUGGCGGGAAAAUAUUAACGAUGAAUUUGUGAUUUUCUGUAUCAAUUUAUAAUUAUUUAUUAAUUUCAAAAAUCAAAAAUCAAGGUGCUAGUUUUGUCCAAUAAAAUUUUGAGUGCUAUUCUUGUCCCAAAAACUUGAUUUGGAGCUAUAAAAGCCAAUUUCUCAAUUAUGUACUUGAUUAUUUAAAAUUUACAAAUUAUUUUAUUAAAUUUAAUUGAUAAAUAAUGAUAUAACUGUACUUUUUCUAUUGUUGAAAAAUAAUAUAGUUUUUUUUUUGUCGUUAAAAAUAAUAUAGUUUUGAGAAAAACACAAUUUUGCGGUUUUGGCGUGAAAAAACACAGAUUUGUAAGGACAAAAAUUUGGUGACAAAACACAAUUUCAUUUCUUCAUGAUUUUGGCAAAAAAAAAAACGAUGUUUUGUGGAAAAUAGUUUUUGGUGAUUAAACGCAAUUUUGCGUUUUUGACGGAAAUUCACGGGUUUAUGGUUUAGGCGGAAAACAUUAUUUUAGGAUAUGAGAUGCUUUGGUGAUAAAACGACAUUUUGCGAUUUUUGCGGAAAAACACGGUUUUGCGAUUUUGGCGAGAAAACGCAGGUUUACGGUUUUGGCAAAAAAACACGGGUUUGUGAUUUUGGCGGAAAACCACGAUUUUGCUAUUUUGGCGGAAAAACACGGUUUUACGAUUUUGACGGGAAAACACAAUUUUGCGUUUUUGGCGGGAAAACACCGGUUUACGAUUUUGGCGGGAAAAUACCAGUUUACGGUUUUGGCAGGAAAACACGGGUUUACGAUUUUGGAGGGAAAACACCAUUUCGUGGUGAUAAAACGCAAUUAUUUUAUUUUGGCGGAAAAAACACGGUUUUGCGAUUUAGGUAAAAAAACUUUGUUUUACAUAUUUAAAUCAAAAAUUGAAGUUAAGUAGAAUAAUUUAGUUCUAAUGUCUUUAAUAUAUUGGUUUUUUAUUUUAGUUAUUAAGACAUUAACCUUUUCUAAUAAUGAUAACUAAUGUAAAUGGGCUUAAAUGGGUACCCAUUUAUUUGUGUGAAACCCCAUUUAAUAAAUGAGUUUAAUUGGAGUAACCCAUUUAAUGUUUUCCUUCAAUGGGUUUAAAUGGGUUUAAAUAGGUUAAUUUUUCUUAUAUAUACUCAUUUAUUAAAUGGGGUUUAAUGCCCAAGUUAACAUCCUUACUUGAGUCACACAAAACCGCAUAGCUUCUUCUCCAUUAAAAGUUAGCUCUAUUAAAUAUAAUAAUCUAUGUGAAGAGAGAGUCUUUAAAUAGAGAUGGAAGGGACUUUAUUGUAGGUUGUGACAUCUAAGAGCAUCUCCAUUGGGAGUGUCUCACAUGAGUUUUUACUAAUUAAAAAACAAAAAAUAAUCAUAAAGGAAGAGAGAUGGUGAGAAACAUGUCUCUGCAGAGAAACUCUGCUUUACACAUGUCAUAUUUUAACAGGUUAAAUAGUUACUUUCUGAAUAAUUAUUUAAAUAAAUAAUAAAAUUAUAUCAUAGUUAUUAAAAUAUAAUAUUUUGAGACACGUUUAGAGUGUCUACCGAUAAAGAUGCUCUAACGUAGUGAGUUUGUUAGAGGAGAGUUAUAGAACAUCUCUUGAACAAAUCUUAAUUGUUAGGGUUAUUGAUAUGAGAUUUGUAUAUGCUAGGUUGUUUGGGUGUAAGUGGCUUGCAGGAGAGCUAAUUAGACAGAAGUAUAAGGACCACUCCUGUAAAACCCUAACUGUGUCAUAACAAGCAAAAGUCAAGGUGGUGGUGGUGAAUUGACCAUGGCUCACGUAUCACUCAAAGCACAAUGCCUUUUACCUCACUUACAACCGUAGUCUAGGAAGAAAGUUCGUCCAUCGGUUCAUUGUCCACUACAUUAAUUCAAUUUUAAAAUAUUUGCUUCAGUGAGAGAAGAAGAAAAGAUAAUAUAGCUCAUAUCAAACCUUCGCAAAGAAACCAACGAUUCAAUAACUACUAGCAAAAUACACAAGAAACCUGAUGAACAUACACUAGAAAAAUCAUUUGUCUGCAUAAAUCGAAAAGUUGGAAAAGGAGGCAAAGGAACGAGAGGGUGUAGACUACUCUCAACUGAAGCUAAGUGAAGAGCUCAUCGCUGAAGUCAACCGACUUAAGGUGGCAACUGGUGAGGGAAUGGCAAACCCCAGCCAGUUCGAGGGUUCAAUGUUGCAGCCAUUAGACCCAAACAUGUUCCAGCAGCAACUCAACAGCAAUGAGUUCAAUUUGCAACAACCAUUGGACCCAAACAUGUUGUAGCAGCAAUGCAACAUCAAUGAGUUCAAUUAGCAACAACCAUUGGACCCAAACAUGUUCCAACAACAACUUAACAUCAAUGAAUUCAACCAGCAGCAGCCAAACCAAGAUUUUUAUGGACAAACCUAAGGAAGUUGAGGUGGAUUUGGCAAUCCUAUUUGUUCAAGGAUUUGAAGAUUUAUUCAAGUUGUUUCAGUUUGUGUUUAAAAGGUCAAGUUGAGAGAAUGACAAUUCUAUCUAAGUGUUCCGCUUAGAUAGAUAUAUGAUUGUAUCUGUGAGAGGGUUCAGACAAUUGUGACCUUUUUGUUUUUUUUUUUCAAUAAAAUUUUGUCCUUUUUUAUUGAGAUUUAUUUAUAUUUUAUCCAAUUUGUUCAAUUUCAUAGAAAAACAUGAAAGUAGUCUUCUCAGAUGUUCCUUUUUCCGACUAGUGGAUAAUUGCUUUGGUCAACGCUCCAAAGAGUCGUCUUUUCUUUUAGUUCCUCCUUCUUUCGUUGCCCUUUAGUUCAAGGAGGAACUAAAAGUAAAGAUGAUUAUUUUAAGCGUUGUUCAAAGCAGUCAUCUACUGGUCGGAAAAAUGAACAUCCGAGAAGAUUAUUUUCAUCUUGUUUUUCAAUAAAAUUUAACAAAUUGGAUAAAAUAUAAAAAAAUCUCAAUAGAAAAGAACAAAGCUUUAUUGAAAAAAACAAAAGGUUACAAUUGUGUGAAUCCUCUCAUGGUUACAAUCCUAUAUCUAUCUAAGAAGAACAAUUUGUCACUCUCUCAACCUGACCUUUUAAACAUAAACUAAAACAACUUGAAUAAAUCUUCAAUCCUUGAACCAAUAGGAUUGCGAAAUCCACCUCGACUUUCUUAGGGUUGUCCAUAAAAAUCUUGGUUUGGGUGCUCUUGGUUGAACUCAUUGAUGUUAAGUUGUUGUUGGAACAUGUUUGGGUCCAAUGACUACUGUUGAUUGAACUCAUUGAUGUUGCAUUGCUGCUGGAACAUGUUUGGGUCCAAUGGUUGUUGUUGAUUAAACUCAUUGAUGUUGAGUUGCUGCUGGAACAUGUUUGGGUCUAAUGGCUGCAUCAAUGAACCCUCAAACUGGCUGGGGUUUGUCAUUCCCUCACCAGCUGCCACCUUAAGUCGGUUGACUUCAGCGAUGCUCUUCAUUUAGCUUCAGUUGAGAGUAGUCUGCAGCCUCUUGUUCAUUUGCCUCUUUUUCCAGCCUUUCGAUUUCUGCGCACAAUUUAUUUUUUCUAGGGUAUGUCUAUCGAGUUUAUAAUAUAUAAAACUUUAUGUGACGUCUUUUUAUACAAACAAUAACGUUCUUAAGAUUGUUGUUUGUAUCAAGACGCCACAAACUGUUUUACUCGCUAGGAUACUAUUACUAAGAAAACAUAUGUAACAUCCCGAUUUCAAGAAUAUGGUGGUGCAUGCGUAGAGGUUUAAAAGAAUUGAUUUGGCUACCUAUGUCACCAAAGUGCACCUAUCUAUUUGGUCAACUGUCCUGAGAGAAUUCCACAGUUAAGCGUGCUUGGGCUGGAGCAAUUUCAGGAUGGGUGACCUUCCGGGAAGUGAUUGUCGAAACCGUGUGAGUGAGGCCAAAACACGGGGAAAGAUAAUGUGGUGAUUUGUAGUGUCGGUAAACAAAUCUUUAAAGCCUCCCGGACUUAGCGAAUCGACCGUCAGAAAGGCAUGGGGCCUACGGGCUCGAGAGAGGAUGUGGGUGCUCAUUAGUAGGGGCGGUCGGGGCGUUACAAGUGGUAUCAGUGCCGAACCAUGGCGAGUGUGGAGUCAAGAAGACUCACACCGUCGGGGGUGACGAUCUUGCUGUGCAAUGAGGACGUUGCGAUUUGUUAGUGUGGGUGAAUUGUAACACCAUGGUUUCAGGAAUAUCGUGGUGUAUGUGUAGAGGUUUAAAAGAUUUGAUUUGACUACCUAUGUCACCAAAGUGUACUUAUCUUUUCGAUCAACUGUCCUGAGAGAACUCCACAGUUAAGAGUGCUUGGGCUGAAGCAAUUUCAAAAUGGGUGACUUUCCAGGAAGCGAUUGUUGGAACCGUGUGAGUGAGGGUAAAACACGGGGAAAGAUCAUGUGGUGAUUUGUAAGGUCGGUAAACAAGUCUUUAAAGCCUCUCGGACGUAGCGAACCGAUCGUCGGACAAGCGUGGAGCCUACGGCCCGAGAGAGGACGUGGGUGCUCACUGGUAGGGGUGGUCGGGGUGUUAUAACAUAAGGGAGGUUUAUUAACAUUCUUUUUAUUUUUUUCCCCCAAGUUUCUAGAGCAUAUCCUAGCUGAGAAAAACAUCAAAAACUUCUUGAACAUUGAUGCCGACACUCGUGGACCUUCUUGAAGUCCCUGGAUUGUGGACUUCAUGGUGGCCUUAAAACCAACAUUAAACCAAAGAUCAACGUCUGAGAUUGAAAUAAUCUCGAGAGAAAAUAGUUUCAACCGGGCCUUGUGGCCUAGUGGUAAAGGGGUCACAGCUGUGACUUCCGCCACCAGGGUUCGAGGCAAGGCCACUGGCAGGUUUACAUAGGGGAAUUGCCAGCCUCGUGGGAUUAGUCCUUGGGCCUAGAAAGCCUUUGGGAGACCCGCGGUUAUUCAAAAAAAAAAAAAAAGUUUCAUAAACCUAGUCUAGCCUGAGCAAAAUAACGCUUCACAACUUACGUGCCACUAUGUACUUUUUCAACAUAGGUAAAUCCAGGUCUAAUUUGAGAAGAACCAAGUUUCAGUAAAACAUAAAUAUAUAUAUAUAUAUAUAUAUAUAUAUAUAUAUAUAUAUAUAAUAUUUGGAGUGAUCAAAUUUACGACCGAAUAUCCGAAUUUUAACGGAUAUGCGGACAUCAGAUAUCCAAUAAACGGCAUAGUGGAUAUAGAUCAGAAAGUCAUUAUCCGUACAGAACCGAUCACGAAUAGCUUAUAAAUUUUGAAUAUCCACUAUGCGUCCAGACUUAAUAUAUAUUUAAAGCUUAUAUGCAAUAAUAGAAAAGUAUUGGCAACUUAAAGAAAAGAAGAAUAACACUUUCUUUUGAUAUGUAAAACUUAAGACUCCAUCUUUUUUCUGAUAGAAGGCAAAAAAAAAACAAUUUUGCCAAAACUACAAUACACUGAUUUUAAAAGACAAAAAAUAUAAUAAAAUCUAAGUUGAUUGAUAAGUUGCAUCAUUUUUCUGGUGAUUAUUUUGGAGCAAUUAUUUUCCAAAGUAUUGAAUAUAAAAUAUCUAAAAUGUUUAAAUUAAUUUACAAUUUGUUAGCUUGAUUGAUUUAUCUAAUUUAAAAGCCUAUAUAAUAGUUCAUACACCGAUUAGAAAUAAGCCAGUUACAAUAGAAAAAAUCAACAGGUAAAACUAACCUUUAGUGUAUGACAUCGAUGUUACCCAUCAUAUACAGUACGAAGAUAUAAGAUAGUAAUCAUCGGACUAUUUCGGUUGACCUCGGCUAUGUUUACCGUCAAACCAAAUCUCGGAAACUCUCUCUUUUGCGACGGUAAUGCAAUAUUCCUAUUCAAGAGUCGUCACAAACAAAAAUUUGUAGAAUAUGUUUUGCUCUCGAUUAAUACGCCAUCUCGAUAUUCUUUCAAGCACUGUGACAACCCUUAAUACACCGAUGAAAGAACUUUUCAAUACAAGCUUUGGCGGAGAAAACGAAGAUUUUUUUUAGUUGUUG
rnacentral:lncRNA from 1 species